CGCGGGUGAGUAAUACAUCGGAACGUGUCUUCUAGUGGGGGAUAACUGCCCGAAAGGGCAGCUAAUACCGCAUGAGACCUGAGGGUGAAAGCGGGGGAUCGUAAGACCUCGCGCUGGAAGAGCGGCCGAUGUCCGAUUAGCUAGUUGGUGAGGUAAAGGCUCACCAAGGCGACGAUCGGUAGCUGGUCUGAGAGGACGACCAGCCACACUGGGACUGAGACACGGCCCAG
rnacentral:rRNA from 1 species